rnacentral:rRNA from 1 species
GACGAACGCUGGCGGCGUGCUUAACACAUGCAAGUCGAACGAAGAACCUUCCUUCGGGAAGGGGACGAGUGGCGAACGGGUGAGUAACACGUGGGCAACCUGCCCCUCGCUCUGGGAUAACCCCGGGAAACCGGGGCUAAUACCGGAUAUUCAAUUCAACAGGCAUCUGUAGAAUUGGAAAGGAUUCUGGCGAGGGAUGGGCCCGCGGCCUAUCAGCUUGUUGGUGGGGUAACGGCCUACCAAGGCGACGACGGGUAACCGGCCUGAGAGGGCGACCGGUCACACUGGGACUGAGACACGGCCCAGACUCCUACGGGAGGCAGCAGUGGGGAAUAUUGCGCAAUGGGCGAAAGCCUGACGCAGCAACGCCGCGUGAGGGAUGAAGUACGUCGAGAUGUAAACCUCUUUCAGCAGGGACGAAGCGAAAGUGACGGUACCUGCAGAAGAAGCGCCGGCUAACUACGUGCCAGCAGCCGCGGUAAU